rnacentral:rRNA from 1 species
UACGAGUGCCCCGAGCGUUAUCCGGAAUUAUUGGGCGUAAAGGGUGUGUAGGUGGCCACGUUAGUCUUUUUGUUAAAACCCGGGGGCUCAACUCCGGAUCGGCGAAGGAAACGGCGUGGCUAGAGGAUGGGCAGGGAUGUAUGGAACUCAUGGAGUAGGGGUGAAAUCCGUUGAUAUCAUGGGGGAACACCAAAAAGCGAAGGCAGUACAUUGGGCCACUCCUGACAC